rnacentral:snRNA from 1 species
GAAAGAGUUGAGAUGCAUUGCUC